rnacentral:lncRNA from 1 species
GCAUCCCCAGGCUAGGGGCCGGGAGGGCGAGGGGCUGCAGCAGCCACAGCUGCCUGCUGGGAGGGGGCUCCUAUUUUUAGCCCGGGAGGGAGCUGGGAAUUUACACCCAGACUUGCUGGCUCCCGUGUAUCCUGGGAUGCCCGGUGAUGGGGGAGGGGGACCUGGCAGCCAAGGGAGAGUGUGAAUUUAGGUCAAUGCCAGCCAUGAAGUGGGUACCCCAGCCCUACGAGGUUUGGACAGACCAUUUCCUGGAGCCCCUAUGAGUCUGGGGACACCCCCCAAAGCUUUAGCCUGAUACCCACCCAAUCCUGGUCACUUAUCCUAUUCUCACUCUCUAUUUAGGGGUGGAUCUUACAAAUUCACCCAGGCCUGGUUCUCAAGCUUCUCCAAGUUAAACCAAAAGUGCCCACCUCCCCACAUGUAUUCCUUCUCAAGCAUGUGUGCACCUCUGUGCCUGUGCCCUGGCCCCUGCCUGGCCUGGCCUGCCCUUCCCCAGAGGGCCCCUUGGCCUGUGUCCUGGGUUCAUAUUGGUGUCCUCCUCAGGUUCCCUCUCUGGCCUCUCUUCACACCCCCACCAUGCCUCAGAUCUUCAUUGAAGCCUUUUCUAUUUUGAAAUAGCUAUUUAUUUAACCCCUGUAUCUGGCUUCCAGGAGGGCCCUCAAGUCCUGAGGACUAAGAUGUCAGAU